rnacentral:rRNA from 1 species
GGUAAGGGCCCACCAAGGCGACGAUCAGUAGCCGGACUGAGAGGUUGAACGGCCACAUUGGGACUGAGACACGGCCCAAACUCCUACGGGAGGCAGCAGUGGGGAAUAUUGCACAAUGGGGGAAACCCUGAUGCAGCAACGCCGCGUGAGUGAAGAAGUAUUUCGGUAUGUAAAGCUCUAUCAGCAGGGAAGAAACUGACGGUACCUGACUAAGAAGCACCGGCUAAAUAC